rnacentral:rRNA from 1 species
UACGGAGGGUGCAAGCGUUAUCCGGAUUCACUGGGUUUAAAGGGUGCGUAGGCGGGUUGGUAAGUCAGUGGUGAAAUCUCCGAGCUUAACUUGGAAACUGCCAUUGAUACUAUCAGUCUUGAAUACCGUGGAGGUCAGCGGAAUAUGUCAUGUAGCGGUGAAAUGCUUAGAUAUGACAUAGAACACCAAUUGCGAAGGCAGCUGGCUACACGAGUAUUGACACUGAGGCACGAAAGCGUGGGGAUCAAACAGG